AAAGUACUCCCUCCAUCCCAAAAUUCUUGUCUUAGAUUUGUGUAGAUACGGAUGUAUCAAGUCACAUUUUAGUAUUAGAUACAUCCGUAUCUAGACAAAUCUAAGACAAGAAAUUUGGGACAGAGGGAGUAGUUG
rfam:Triticum aestivum genome assembly, contig: Triticum_aestivum_CS42_TGACv1_scaffold_131873_2BL